GGAGSGGGCCAGCGUUGUUCGGAAUCAUUGGGCGUAAAGGGCGCGUAGGCGGCCGACCAAGUCGGAGGUGAAAUCCCUCGGCUCAACUGAGGAACUGCCUCCGAUACUGUUCGGCUUGAGUCCCGGAGAGGGUAGUGGAAUUCCGAGCGUAGCGGUGAAAUGCGUAGAGACUCGGAAGAACACCAGUGGCGAAGGCGGCUACCUGGACGGGUACUGACGCUGAAGCGCGAAAGCUAGGGGAGCAAACAGGAUUAGAUACCCUGGUAGUCCUAGCUGUAAACGAUGGGCACUUGGUGUUGCGGGUAUCGACCCCUGCAGUGCCGAAGCUAACGCAUUAAGUGCCCCGCCUGGGGAGUACGGUCGCAAGGCUG
rnacentral:rRNA from 1 species